rnacentral:sRNA from 1 species
ACGAACCACCCGUACACUCCGGCUCCUCCGCGCCGUCCACCCCCACCUGACGACUGCUCGCUACGUUUUAUUGGCC